UGUAGAUCCUGAGUAAUCGCGGUCGGCUUAUGUCGGCUGAGGAAAGUCCAUGCUCGCACAGGCUGCGAUGCCUGUAGUGUUCGUGCUCGGUGAAAAAAUAAGCCGGGGGACGUUAGCAAUAACGUUACGGCGGGAAAAAACGGCUAAAGCUUCGGCUAUGCUUGAGUAUCCCUGAAAAGUGCCACAGUGACGAUACGUCUAGGGAAACCUAGGCGGUGGAACGCGGUAAACCCCUCGAGCGGGCAACCCAAACUUUUGGUAGGGGCGCUUCACAUAUGGAAUUGAACGAAAUGUGGGGGGAGAGGAAACUCUCGAGAUAGAUGAUUACUGCCAGCUGAUCGUUUGCCUGAAACGGUUGGGUGGUACAAAACAUGGCUUACAGGGAUUUACACCAU
rnacentral:RNase_P_RNA from 1 species